rnacentral:tRNA from 1 species
AAGGGUUUAGGUUAAACCAGACCAGGAGCCUUCAAAGCUCUCAGCGGGGGUUAAAAUCCCUCAACCCUUG